AUUGAACGCUGGCGGCAGGCUUAACACAUGCAAGUCGAGCGGAGAGAGGUAGCUUGCUACUGAUCUUAGCGGCGGACGGGUGAGUAAUGCUUAGGAAUCUGCCUAUUAGUGGGGGACAACAUUUCGAAAGGAAUGCUAAUACCGCAUACGUCCUACGGGAGAAAGCAGGGGAUCUUCGGACCUUGCGCUAAUAGAUGAGCCUAAGUCGGAUUAGCUAGUUGGUGGGGUAAAGGCCUACCAAGGCGACGAUCUGUAGCGGGUCUGAGGGGAUGAUCCGCCACACUGGGACUGGGACACGGCCCAGACUCCUACGGGAGGCAGCAGUGGGGAAUAUUGGACAAUGGGCGCAAGCCUGAUCCAGCCAUGCCGCGUGUGUGAAGAAGGCCUUAUGGUUGUAAAGCACUUUAAGCGAGGAGGAGGCUACUUUAGAUAAUACCUAGAGAUAGUGGACGUUACUCGCAGAAUAAGCACCGGCUAACUCUGUGCCAGCCGCCGCCGUAA
rnacentral:rRNA from 1 species